AGUUUGUUUUCCUCUUAACUCUCUCAGAUCUUUUAGAUAGAGAGUCUUUUCCAUCGUUUAAUUCCGACUAAGAUCGGAAAUUUGUUUCGGUUUUGUUUCUGGCCUUUCCAUGAUUUAUGUAUAUUUUGCUUUGUGCGACCUAAACAAAUUAUGGUUUUAUGAUGGACUUUUUCUACCGGCUUGUCUGGUUUUUCGUUUUUUUUUUUCUUUUGCUUUAGGUAAGCUAUGAUCUCCAUCUGUCGGUGUUUAUCGUUGUCAAUGUUUCCGUCUUUUUCACAAUCCUCUCUGUUUCAGUCAAGUUGUUUCGAGGAAUAAUAUCUUCAUUAAAUCAUGUUGCUCAUAUGAAAUAGGAGCAACGAUUAGUCUAUAUCAAUUUGGAUGUAGUUCAUGGUGGAGCUUCUCCGGUGAUUAGUGGAAAUUUUGAUGCGGUAUAUCUAAAUCGAAAUCGGUAGUCGGAAGGAGGAUUUU
rnacentral:sRNA from 1 species